rnacentral:rRNA from 1 species
CAGCAGCCGCGGUAAUACGUAGGUGGCAAGCGUUGUCCGGAAUUAUUGGGCGUAAAGGGCUCGCAGGCGGUUUCUUAAGUCUGAUGUGAAAGCCCCCGGCUCAACCGGGGAGGGUCAUUGGAAACUGGGAAACUUGAGUGCAGAAGAGGAGAGUGGAAUUCCACGUGUAGCGGUGAAAUGCGUAGAGAUGUGGAGGAACACCAGUGGCGAAGGCGACUCUCUGGUCUGUAACUGACGCUGAGGAGCGAAAGCGUGGGGGGCGAACAGGAUUAGAUACCCCGGUAGUCCCUGUCUCUUAUAC